rnacentral:rRNA from 1 species
UACGUAGGGUCCGAGCGUUGCCCGGAAUUAUUGGGCGUAAAGGGCUCGUAGGCGGUUUGUCGCGUCGGGAGUGAAAUCCACUGGCUUAACUGGUGGCUUGCUUUCGAUACGGGCAGACUGGAGGUAUGCAGGGGAGAACGGAAUUCCUGGUGUAGCGGUGAAAUGCGCAGAUAUCAGGAGGAACACCGGUGGCGAAGGCGGUUCUCUGGGCAUGUCCUGACGCUGAGGAGCGAAAGUGUGGGGAGCGAACAGG